AACAUCAUGUUGAAACACCAGUACCUGUACAAUCAACUAAGUUAAACAACAUCAAGCCUGGUCAGUACCGAAAUGGGUGACCGCUUGGGAAUACCAGGUGCUGUAA